GGCAGCGUAGCUCAAUGGUAGAGCACAGCGUCUGUUUAAAAAGCGUUUGAUUUAUCAGCGUUGGUUUCACAGCGUUGCAUGUGGGUUCGAAUCCCACCGCUGCCA
rnacentral:tRNA from 1 species